rnacentral:rRNA from 1 species
UCGGGAAUUUUGGGCAAUGGGCGAAAGCCUGACCCAGCAAUGCCGCGUGAAGGAUGAAGUAUUUCGGUAUGUAAACUUCGAAAGAAUAGGAAGAAUAAAUGACGGUACUAUUUAUAAGGUCCGGCUAACUACGUGCCAGCAGCCGCGGUAAUACGUAGGGACCAAGCGUUGUUCGGAUUUACUGGGCGUAAAGGGCGCGUAGGCGGCAAUUCAAGUCAUCUGUGAAAUCUCCGGGCUUAACUCGGAACGGUCAGAUGAUACUGCUUUGCUAGAGUGCAGAAGGGGCAAUCGGAAUUCUUGGUGUAGCGGUGAAAUGCGUAGAUAUCAAGAGGAACACCUGAGGUGAAGACGGGUUGCUGGGCUGACACUGACGCUGAGGCGCGAAAGCCAGGGGAGCAAACGGGAUUAGAUACCCUCGUAGUCCCUGAGCGGGCUGGCAAGGCGCAU